UGAGUAAUGUCUGGGAAACUGCCCGAUGGAGGGGGAUAACUACUGGAAACGGUAGCUAAUACCGCAUAACGUCGCAAGACCAAAGUGGGGGACCUUCGGGCCUCACACCAUCGGAUGUGCCCAGAUGGGAUUAGCUAGUAGGUGGGGUAAUGGCUCACCUAGGCGACGAUCCCUAGCUGGUCUGAGAGGAUGACCAGCCACACUGGAACUGAGACACGGUCCAGACUCCUACGGGAGGCAGCAGUGGGGAAUAUUGCACAAUGGGCGCAAGCCUGAUGCAGCCAUGCCGCGUGUAUGAAGAAGGCCUUCGGGUUGUAAAGUACUUUCAGCGGGGAGGAAGGCGGUGGAGUUAAUAGCUUCACCGAUUGACGUUACCCGCAGAAGAAGCACCGGCUAACUCCGUGCCAGCAGCCGCGGUAAUACGGAGGGUGCAAGCGUUAAUCGGAAUUACUGGGCGUAAAGCGCACGCAGGUGGUCUGUCAAGUCGGAUGUGAAAUCCCCGGG
rnacentral:rRNA from 1 species